GGUUCGAUGCCACGUCUCUGGUAGCUAAUAUAAGCUCUGACCAAAGAUGCUAUGAUUGGACCCAUAUCAAUUUCUUUCGCAUUCUGAUAGGAAUCUGCUGGUCCUAUAUACUAUGAUUUUGCAGAGCCGUUUUGUGCGAUUACAUUC
rnacentral:snoRNA from 1 species